UACGAAGGGGGCUAGCGUUGCUCGGAAUCACUGGGCGUAAAGGGUGCGUAGGCGGGUCUUUAAGUCAGGGGUGAAAUCCUGGAGCUCAACUCCAGAACUGCCUUUGAUACUGAAGAUCUUGAGUUCGGGAGAGGUGAGUGGAACUCCGAGUGUAGAGGUGAAAUUCGUAGAUAUUCGGAGGAACACCAGUGGCGAAGGCGGCUCACUGGUCCAUUACUGACGCUGAGGUGCGAAAGCGUGGGGAGCAAACAGG
rnacentral:rRNA from 1 species